UGUGUAGGCGGUUGUUUAAGUUUGGUGUGAAAUCUCUCGGCUUAACUGGGAGGGUGCGCCGAAUACUGAAUGACUAGAGUGCGGGAGAGGAGAGUGGAAUUCCUGGUGUAGCGGUGAAAUGCGUAGAUAUCAGGAGGAACACCGGCGGUGUAGACGGCUCUCUGGACCGUAACUGACGCUGAGACACGAAAGCGUGGGUAGCAAACAGGAUUAGAUACCCUGGUAGUCCACGCCCUAAACGAUGCAUAUUUGGUGUGGGCAGUUCAUUCUGUCCGUGCCGGAGCUAACGCGUUAAAUAUGCCGCCUGGGGAGUACAGUCGCAAGGCUGAA
rnacentral:rRNA from 1 species